rnacentral:rRNA from 1 species
UACGUAGGUGGCGAGCGUUGUCCGGAAUUACUGGGUGUAAAGCGCGUGUAGGCGGGAGGCCAAGUCUGUGGUGAAACCGCUCGGCUUAACUGGGCGGGGUCCAUGGAAACUGGUCACCUGGAGGUCGGUAGAGGCAAGUGGAAUUCCCGGUGUAGUGGUGAAAUGCGUAGAGAUCGGGAGGAACACCGGUGGCGAAGGCGGCCUGCUGGGCAGUUGCUGACACUGAGGCGCGACAGCGUGGGGAGCAAACAGG